UCCUAGCAACACAGAACUGAAUUUUAAGUAUGAAGGUAUGCAAGUCAACCAGAUGCACGAAAAUUAUGGCCAUCAGUGGAGCAAGAAGCAAUUGUUGCUUGGGACAAGGAGAAUUAGACUCUAUGCCACAAUCAUUCACGGACUCACAUUCAUUCUCAAAUGCAGUCUUCAGGCCAAGUAGCUGGAACACAGUGAGCUUCGACAAGAAGUCUGGCGGAAGGAUUCAUUUAACAUCAACAGAAGUCACUUUGGGUCUGGUGCUGUAUGAAGUAUUCAUCGAGUCAGUGAAGUAAACAGGAGCCAUAAUUGAUUUUAUGAAGUGAUAGGUCAAGUGCAUAAAAUGAAUUCUUCUGAUUUCCCUUCCAUCCAACAAAACACCAUGCAUCGAACUCAAGGCUAUCGGGAGAGACUCUUUUCCAGGGUUGUGUUCUGUGUCAGCAACUCAGAGAACCUCCGUCACCAUGACCCCCCACCCACUCACAACUGUGGAAUACCUUCCCAUUGUGGUUGGCAACACAGCAUUUUGUUUCCCAAUACAUUUUAAUUGGUUGAUCCAGUCUGGUUGAUUAUGUUUGCUGCUUUCUUUAUCUUUUAUGUUGAUAAUGAUGAUG